rnacentral:rRNA from 1 species
UGCGUAGGUGGUGAUUUAAGUCCGUUGUGAAAGCCCGGGGCUCAACCUGGGAAUUGCAGUGGAUACUGGGUCACUAGAGUGUGGUAGAGGGUAGCGGAAUUCCCGGUGUAGCAGUGAAAUGCGUAGAGAUCGGGAGGAACAUCUGUGGCGAAGGCGGCUACCUGGACCAACACUGACACUGAGGCACGAAAGCGUGGGGAGCAAACA